UACGGGGGGAGCAAGCGUUGUUCGGAUUUACUGGGCGUAAAGGGCGCGUAGGCGGCCACCGCAAGUCAAUUGUGAAAUCUCCGGGCUUAACUCGGAAAGGUCAACUGAUACUGCGGGGCUAGAGUGCGGAAGGGGCAACUGGAAUUCUCGGUGUAGCGGUGAAAUGCGUAGAUAUCAGGAGGAACACCGGUGGCGAAGGCGGCUGCCUGGCCUAAGACUGACGCUGAGGUGCGAAAGCGUGGGGAGCAAACAGG
rnacentral:rRNA from 1 species